GAUGAACGCUAGCGGCAGGCCUAAUACAUGCAAGUCGAACGGUAAGUAGUGUAGCAAUACAUUGCCUAGAGUGACGUACGGGUGCGUAACACGUAUGCAACCUACCUUGUACAGGAGGAUAGCUCGGGGAAACUCGAAUUAACCCUCCAUAAUAUAAUUGGAUGGCAUCAUUUGAUUAUUAAAACUUUGGUGGUACAAGAUGGGCAUGCGUCUGAUUAGUUAGUUGGCGGGGUAACGGCCCACCAAGACGAUGAUCAGUAGGGGAACUGAGAGGUUGAUCCCCACACUGGCACUGAGAUACGGGCCAGACUCCUACGGGAGGCAGCAGUAGGGAAGUAUUGGUCAAUGGAUGGAAGUCUGAACCAGCCAUGCCGCGUG
rnacentral:rRNA from 1 species